CGGUCCUCAUUUAACCUACCUUAGAAAGGCUGAGUCGACCUUGAGCCUGGUGAGAUUCGAACCUGCAGAAAUUGCAGGCAGCUGUGUUAAUAACAGGGUGCAUUAAACCACUGUACUACCAAGGCUCCUGUUGAGUUGUUGAGUAAAUUGUUGAAUGAAUCCCUGUAGUUAAGAAAACGAUGGUGAAGUGAAUCUGGCUCCCCCAUUGACUUUGUCAGAAGUCACAAAAGGGGAAUCACAUGACUCCGGGGCACUGUGUCCUGAAUUUUGACCAUGGGGAUGCUGCAACAGUCGUUGUCCCAGGAAGUGGAGCAGCUCCAAAACCGAGUUGAGUAAUGAAUAAAUAAAUUGAAAUCUGGACCUAUGAACCCAAUCACAAAACCAGCAAAAUUAUCUAAUUUUGCUAAUAAGAUUUACAACAAAAUAAUCCGCCCUACUAACUUUAUCAAUGGCAAUUCCCAUUGAUCUGCUUUAUUCAAUACUUAGGACAGAUAGAAAUUUGAUUAAGGCCAUCGAUCAAAUGGGUUUUAAGGAUCUCAAGGGAAUUCACACCAUUGCAAAGUUACUUUUCUCAGCUUGUAAAACUGGCACCUUGAAAAUAGCCAUGUAGUGCAGCAAUUAUUGUCGCUUUUUAACCUUGAAUGCCAUGUUAUUUUGCAUGUUCCAUUUUAUGUAUUGUAUUUUGUAGGUUUGAUUUAAUGAAACUUUUUUAGACUGACCGGUAAUAAAAAUUUUGAUUUGAUCUGAAAGCACAUGAGAGCAAGAAAAUGGCCUUUGAUUCCUGGAGGCCUAAACGAUUUCUCUUUCAUUAGUUACUGAUCAUCACAAAAUGGUACAAGCAAUGUAUAAGAAAGGUAUCAAGGAAUAACGUUUUAACGGGGAGGUGCGUUCACACAACUUGCUGAACCACAGAGUACGGCAUGCUGUUCCGGUUCCAGUUUCUUCUUUGCAUCUCCUCUAUUGCUGAAAAAAAUGGAGAAGCUGUAUCUGAUCUUGAAGACGUGGGUCAUAAAUCUCUUUCCUUAGCCCU